GCUGGAAUCGCUAGUAAUCGCAGGUCAGCAUACUGCGGUGAAUACGUUCCCGGGUCUUGUACACACCGCCCGUCACACCAUGGGAGCCGGAAAUGCCCGAAGCCAGUGACCCAACCUUAGGGAGGGAGCUGUCGAAGGUGGAGCCGGUAACUGGGGUGAAGUCGUAACAAGGUAGC
rnacentral:rRNA from 1 species